rnacentral:rRNA from 1 species
CCUACGGGAGGCAGCAGUGGGGAAUAUUGGACAAUGGGCGGAAGCCUGAUCCAGCCAUGCCGCGUGUGUGAAGAAGGCCUUUUGGUUGUAAAGCACUUUAAGCGAGGAGGCGUUACUCGCAGAAUAAGCACCGGCUAACUCUGUGCCAGCAGCCGCGGUAAUACAGAGGGUGCGAGCGUUAAUCGGAUUUACUGGGCGUAAAGCGUGCGUAGGCGGCUUUUUAAGUCGGAUGUGAAAUCCCUGAGCUUAACUUAGGAAUUGCAUUCGAUACUGGAAAGCUAGAGUAUGGGAGAGGAUGGUAGAAUUCCAGGUGUAGCGGUGAAAUGCGUAGAGAUCUGGAGGAAUACCGAUGGCGAAGGCAGCCAUCUGGCCUAAACUGACGCUGAGGUACGAAAGCAUGGGGAGCAAACAGGAUUAGAUACCCUUGUAGUC